UCGAAAUAGGGUUAAACACAGUUUUUUUCUGCCUAAUUAUUUUUCAUGUGACUGGUUUACGUUGUUUUACUCUUAGUUAUUUCAUCCUUAUUUAUUUAUUUAUUUAUUUAUUUAUUUAUUUAUUUAUUUUUGCACCAUAAGUAAGGAGAGGGGAGAGGAUGAAGAGAUGGGUGCGAUGUUCCACGUCUGCCUACUCUCUACUAAGAGAGUUAAAUGUGUGCUGUUGCAGACACGGGAUACGCCUCUCCCAGUGAAGUGCCGCCCUGGCCUGGCACUGUCAGAAACCGCCACUGGCAUCGGCGAAGGAUUCCACUUCUGACACCAAUGCUACAACCUAGCUGGACUCUCCCAGACUUUGGAUGGAGUCAGCGUCCAAAUGGCGGAUGUAACAUGGAUUAAAACGGGAAAGGAUCUCAAAAGUGCAGCUCUCUGGUCUUGCAGGAGAGGUGCCCCUGCGGCUGCUCAGGGACACGGUAAAGGACGAAAGUGAAGGAUUCCUCCACCACAGACUUGGAACCAGCGAACCACUUCAGGCCAUCAGGAUCUACUUCUGUAAAACAAAUUUGAAUUUAUUACAAAACAAAACUUACAACAAUGUUAAAAUGUAAACUUUACAACUGAUAAGACAAAAACAUUCAUUCUAAGGAGGAAAAGUCUGCAGAUUCCUCCACCAGAUAAUUUGGAACCAGCGAACCAGUACAGAGGGCCAUCAGGAUCUACUUCUGUAAAAAAAAAGAGAAUAUUUUGAGUUCUGAUGGAACCCAGAACCAGUCCAGUAUGUAGACGCUACUCACUUUGGCCCUCUGGGGGAGGGGGAGCUUGAAAUCUUUGAAGAUCUCGUCCUCUGAGUACUCCCUGUCUGUAAAAUACACCCUCCGGAUCCAUCUGAUGAAGACGACAACCUAAGAUCAAUCAAUCUGCAGACAAACAUCCCCUCGCUGGCUUCACGUCCACAAAUCUGGAUCCGCAGUGUCUCGAUGUAGCUGGAUCCGAAGGAUGUAUUAGUUAUGUUUUGCAAGUCGAAAACCAGACGCCUCCACCCGUCUCCCUGGAAAGGCAGGUUUGCCCUGAAGUGGUCCACCUUCUUCUCUUUAUGGAUGGUGGACCACUUCAGCCACCAACG